rnacentral:misc_RNA from 1 species
UCGUAAAGGUGCAUGAGUGGUGUUUGGUUUGUUACGUGUGGUUGGCUGCGGCGUUUGCAACAACUUCCAUGCUUUCAGACCUCUUCAGUUGUGCGGCAAGGCUUGUAUCGCCUUGAGCGUAUUGUGGGUUUUCUGUGUUGGCUACCUAAUCAAUGGUAUCGGUUGGAUUGAUCAAUGUUUCAUUUCGUCUACCGUCGCAUUCGCGGCGUGAGAUGAACCUUGAUGCGGUCUCUUUGAUCCACCUCGUCGAAGCGCAUGCUUUGGCGUUGUGGCACAUUGAGCAUUGCUUGGUCUCUUGUAUACGGAACAUAUAGUGGGCAUGGAUCUAACGAUUCUCGUUUGCCCUCAUAUUAGCGUAACGCUUCUCUUACACGACUUGCACCACGUUUUAGCUCGUACGGACGUGGU